ACUCUCAGUCCCGCCUCCCGUGCACCCCAGGGAGCCCGGCCAGGCCAGGUCCCAGCAGCCCCCAGGCCCAGCCCCGGGGGUUCUUGUCCAAGCUGCCAGCCACAGGGGCGGCGGCUGGGCCACGGCUGGGUGUCUGGGCUGGCCACCCACACUUUGCAGCCUGCGGUCACCACGGCCCGAGUGCGGCGGGAGAGGGGUCUCCCCUUCAGGGUGACAUCAUCCUCGGAGCUGGGAAGCCACAGCGUGCGGCGGCCGAGGGCCCAAGCGGCCACCCCAGCUCUCCCUCCCUGCCCUGCGUGGGCUGCAGGCGGCGCUGCCCCAGCCCUCUGCACCGACCCGGCACCGGCCCCAGUGCCGCCCGCAUACUGCGCCUCUCCACGGCGAAUAUUUUGGGACAUUCUGGAACAUUCUGGGCCACUUUACAAACCAUCUCUCACCAGACCUCGCUGGGAAGGCGGUGCUCUCAUCACCAUCACUUCCCACGUGGGGAAACCGAGGCACGGAGGGCCAGAGGGCACACGCAUGGGCGGGGGCAGCAGGUGCACACGGGACCCAGUACCAGCAUUUUCUGAGCAGAGAUGGCAGAGAGAGAGACACACACAGACAGACAGAGACAGACACAGAGACAGAGAGAGAGACAGAGAGACACAGAGACAGAGAGACACAGAGAGAGAGACAGACAGAGGCGGGGGGGCUUCCAUCCCCUGGUUCACUCCCCACAUGGCUGUGAAGGCCAGGGCUGGGCCAGGUCAAGGCCAGGAGCUUCUUCCGUGUCUCCCACAUGAGCGGCAGGGACUCAGGCGCUUGGGCCAUGUUCUGCUGCUUUCCCAGACACGUGUGCAGGGAGCUGGGUCGGGAGCGGAGCAGCCUGGACUAGAGCCGGUGCCCACAGGGGACGCGGCGCUGCACCACGGUGUGGUGGACUUAUGCAGAUGGGCCGGGGAGCGUUUGCACCUGCUCUGGGGGAGCGGCCCGAGGCAGGGGACGGGUGGGCACGCACAAGCGACUGACACCGUAGCUCUUGGUGAGGCCGGGAGUGGAUGA
rnacentral:lncRNA from 1 species